AAGAGAACCAAGUUCCUCUGGUAUUUCUCCUGCAAAAUUGUUCGCAAGUACUUAAGAGUUGUAUUGCUGUAAUCAAUUAAUGGUGGUAUGUAGAAUCAUGAAGUUUAUAAAAGCAACAACAUAUAUAAAUAUAGUACCUGUCAGAUUAUUGAAGCCUACAGAAAGCUCCUGAACCAAUGUCAGAUUUCCAAGACUUCUUGGGAUGUUUCCUGUGAAAGCGUUUUUAUUCAGAUACACACGAAGCAGCUUUCCACAUUGCCCUAUACUUGACGGAAUUUGGCCAACCAGUUGAUUGUGAUGAGCAAUCAGCGCCUGAAGAUUUGGAAGAUUUUUACACAUAUCAUCUGGGAGACCACCAGAUAUCAUAUUGUUCGCCA
rnacentral:misc_RNA from 1 species